rnacentral:rRNA from 1 species
GACGAACGCUGGCGGCGUGCUUAACACAUGCAAGUCGAACGGAAAGGCCCUGCUUUUGUGGGGUGCUCGAGUGGCGAACGGGUGAGUAACACGUGAGUAACCUGCCCUUGACUUUGGGAUAACUUCAGGAAACUGGGGCUAAUACCGGAUAGGAGCUCCUGCUGCAUGGUGGGGGUUGGAAAGUUUCGGCGGUUGGGGAUGGACUCGCGGCUUAUCAGCUUGUUGGUGGGGUAGUGGCUUACCAAGGCUUUGACGGGUAGCCGGCCUGAGAGGGUGACCGGGCACAUGGGGACUGAGAUACGGCCCAGACUCCUACGGGAGGCAGCAGUGGGGAAUAUUGCACAAUGGGCGGAAGCCUGAUGCAGCAACGCCGCGUGCGGGAUGACGGCCUUCGGGUUGUAAACCGCUUUCGCCUGUGACGAAGCGUGAGUGACGGUAAUGGGUAAAGAAGCACCGGCUAACUACGUG